CGCGUGAGGAACCUGCCUUGGAGAGGGGGAAGUAAACACUCCGAAAGGAGUGCUAAUACCGCAUGAUGCAGUUGGGUCGCAUGGCUCUGACUGCCAAAGAUUUAUCGCUCUGAGAUGGCCUCGCGUCUGAUUAGCUAGUAGGCGGGGUAACGGCCCACCUAGGCGACGAUCAGUAGCCGGACUGAGAGGUUGACCGGCCACAUUGGGACUGAGACACGGCCCAGACUCCUACGGGAGGCAGCAUG
rnacentral:rRNA from 1 species